UACCGUAGCAAUACGGUAUGGCGCACGGCGCACGGGUGCGUAACACGUGGGUAAUCUGCCCUUCGAUGGGGAAUAACUCCGGGAAACCGAAGCUAAUUCCGCAUAACAUUCCUUGAACUUCGGUUUGAGGACUCAAAGCCGUAAGGCGUCGGAGGAGGAACCCGCGCACGAUUAGCUAGUUGGUAGGGUAACGGCCUACCAAGGCUUUGAUCGUUAGCUGGUCUGAGAGGAUGGCCAGCCACACUGGAACUGAGACACGGUCCAGACUCCUACGGGAGGCAGCAGUGGGGAAUCUUGCACAAUGGGCGAAAGCCUGAUGCAGCGACGCCGCGUGGGGGAUGAAGCUUUUCGGAGUGUAAACCCCUUUCGACCCGGACGAAUGCCCCGCAAGGGGACUGACGGUACGGGUAUAAGAAGCCCCGGCUAACUACGUGCCAGCAGCCGCGGUAAGACGUGGGGGGCCAGCGUUGCUCGGAAUUACUGGGUGUAAAGGGUUCGUAGGCGGUGUAGCAAGUCGGGAGUGAAAUCUCUGGGCUCAACCCAGAGACUGCUUCCGAAACUGCUGUGCUUGAGUGUGGGAGAGGCGCGUGGAAUUGCAGGUGUAGCGGUGAAAUGCGUAGAUAUCUGCAGGAACACCCGUGGCGAAAGCGGCGCGCUGGACCACUACUGACGCUGAGGAACGAAAGCUAGGGGAGCAAACAGGAUUAGAUACCCUGGUAGUCCUAGCCCUAAACGAUCAGGACUUGGGGUGCCGCACGUUCGUGCGUCGUCCCGGAGCUAACGCGUUAAGUCCUGCACCUGGGGAGUACGGUCGCAAGACUG
rnacentral:rRNA from 1 species